UACGUAGGGGGCAAGCGUUGUCCGGAAUUAUUGGGCGUAAAGAGCUCGUAGGCGGUUUGUCGCGUCGGAUGUGAAAACCCAGGGCUCAACCCUGGGCCUGCAUUCGAUACGGGCAGACUAGAGUAUGGCAGGGGAGACUGGAAUUCCUGGUGUAGCGGUGAAAUGCGCAGAUAUCAGGAGGAACACCGGUGGCGAAGGCGGGUCUCUGGGCCAAAACUGACGCUGAGGAGCGAAAGCGUGGGGAGCGAACAGG
rnacentral:rRNA from 1 species